AAACGUAAAAUCAAUCCCUUCUCUUGCUACAGACACUGCCAGCCAUUUUAUAGCCCUGAAAAAUCCCCCCACAAUAUUCCUAUUUUUUUUCUUUCGCCGUUUUUUCUUUAAAAAAAAAUUCACACCACCAAAAAAACAAACAAACAAACGAAAACGAAAUAAAACAGCAACAACAAAAAAAAAAAAACCAAUCAAUCCAGCAGAAUAAAAAUCCAACAACAAAAUGUCGGCAUCAUUCCAACUGCGAGCCAGCUCAUGGAUGAACGCAGUCAACUUGCGCUCUGUAGGACUCGUUGUCAUUUUUAUCUUGGGCUCGCCGGUGAGCUCGAUGGAGGUGAUGGUGAGCCACAAGCUGAAUGCCCUCAAUGGCUCCACAGUCCGCCUGGGCUGUGCCUUCACCUCAUGCUACAAGGUGGACAACAACAAGUUUGGUAUGAACUGGACGUACCAGUCAACAUACAACGACACAGAGGAGAUGUUUAUGACCUACAAGCACAAGAUGACCGCCCUGCCCACGGCUCAGUUUGAGGACCGGGUCAAGUUCUCGGGGAACCUGGAAAAGAACGACGUGUCGGUGACCAUUUCCGACGUGCAGACCUUCGACGAAGGCAUCUACAACUGCUUCGUGCGCAACCCCCCCGACAGACAGCAGGGUCAUGGGGUCAUCAACCUAGUGGUCAUCACGGAGGUGCCCCCACCUCGGGACUCCACCAUCGCGGUGAUCAUCGGCGCCUCAGUGGGGGGGUUCCUGGCCGUGCUGAUCCUGUCCAUGGUGGUGGUGAAGUGCAUCCGCCGGAAGAAGAAGCAGGAGCUGAUCUCGGACGAGCAGAAGAUCGAGGAGGAGUGCAAGACCGACGGCGAGGGGGGCACGGAGGAGGGACCCAAACAACUCUAACCUACCUGCAUGGUCCCAGAUGAUCAAGGCUUGAUGGAGCCCCACCCCCUCCCCCUUCUGGCACGUCUACGCCCUGCCCGAAGACGUCUACUGAAGCUUGGCUUGUCUUUGCUGUCACCCUUUCUCCUUCCAAACAGCACUGCCGCCCUCCAUCUAACCUGCAACUCCUGUUUGCUGAAGCCCACUUCCCCACACCUCCCCGCUGUCGACCCUUUUUGGACUCUCCCACCUGACCGCCCACUCCCCCCACACUCUCUGCGCUUGGUAGUGACCAGCCGCCAGGACAGAACGUCGAAAGAGGAAUGAUGGAUGGAUGGAUGGAUAAGUCGCUUUUGCUUUCUAUGGAUUGUGCCACCGACGGCUAAGGAGCUCAGAACAGACCCUCAUCCCUGCCCACAGGCACACACCUCUCUCAGCCUGGGAGAUGGCUAACACCUUCAAAGAAAGUGGCCUUUCCCUCCAUUUAUCUCCUUCCAGGUUUUCUGCCUCUUUCACUUCCUCCCCCCCAACUUGUCACUUUCAAGGUUCUCUUCCUCCCUCGGGAUGUAUUCAGACUCAGCUCAGCAAACAACAGCCCCCUCCCCACCUGCCCCAAAAUGCAAGAUCAGGGGCGUGUGGACUCACCGACCCACCUCCUUCAUGAAUGAGUGGGCGACGAUCUGAACUCGUUCUGAAGAAGGGACAGUUCGUCUCUUGUGGACACAGCCCUGCCUCUGGCUCACGACUCUCUGUCUCUCAGUCUUUCAGCAGUCGUAGUUCAUUCUGGGGCAGACAGCUGGGGGUGUCUGCUUGCCCCCUGGCGGGUGGUGUCAAGGGCGCCUACGUGUGCCGAUGUCUCCCGGCCGCUGGCAUCUCACGGCGUGUGCGCGUGAGCACUGCUUAAUGGACCCAGUCCCGGUCCUGCAGGCCCAACACACCUGCUGGAUCGCGUCCCAGCCCAGCUGAGUCACCUAAUUCGGGCCCAAACCGAACGGAGGAAGAGCUCGACUGGGUCAUUCUUAGUUCUCGGACCCAAAAGUUGCCAAUUUUGUAUUUUGUUGGUGUUUUUGUUACUAACGAAACGCAGUAGUUCAAGGGAAUGUUUAAGACCUGAAAACAGUCGAUCGAAGGGGUCAGUCAAGGGGUCAGGAGCGUAACUGAGAGCUGGGCUGGGACGCAAAGACGAGCAGGUGUUGGGGUACCCCAAACCAGGACUGGGGAUCCCUGCCUUUGCGUACAUGCAGUUUUGCCGUGUCCGUGCGAUUGUGUAUAGUAGCUUUCUUGCAGCGUAUGUUUUCACCUACUGAUAUGUUUUAGCUGAACAGGGGGGUGGAAGUGUUCAAAUGGCACAGGUGUCAGAAAGUCGUGGGUGCGCGAACGCUGUGUCCUUUAGCAUAGUGCGUGCGUGUGAGCGCUCAAGGAGUCAGGGUUGAUACGUGUCUAUGUGCCGUAACAGGUAGAGAGUAGGCAUUUUUGAAUGUGUAUUCUGUGCGUACAGAUUAAAUGGGCUUUUGUCUUGGGGUGGGGGGGUUUAUAGUAGUUUUGGUGCUGCAGAAACAGUGCCUGCCCCCCCCCCCCCUUCUAUGAUCUUCCGUGUUGGGGGGUGUCACGUCCAACCCGGUAUCAUUCCGGGCUGAUCGGGCCUGCCUCUCGCACGCUGGCGUGUUUCUGCCACAGCAGAGCCCAGGUCAGUUCCCACACUCUUCUGGUACACCAGUGUCCGCACACAUCAGCUCUUCGACACUCGCUGGCUAAAAACCGACAGGAACCAAGUUCCUCUCCCCCCUCCCCCACCAGACUUGCCCGAUACGCAUGCCUGGCAAAACACUGCACGCAGAUGUUUAGGGCAACGCAGAACAUGACAGGCUUAAUCAUUUUAAAAACGCUAUUGCGUAUCGCUAUUAUUGUUGCCAUGCCACGCGACUGUGUUUUGAGUGGCCGUUUUCAACAUGUUCUCUAGCAGCACACUCUGACGUGUUGUAUUAACUCUGGUCGGCUCCUGCAGGAGACUUGCCCAGUGCAGCCUGGUCAGUGGGAAACUUUCCUGUGUUCUCAAGUGUUCCAGUCUGACAACAUGUAGGCAACGAGUCAUGAAGUAAUUCACACGUCAGUACUAAGAGUGUUAUACAGAUUUAUCAUGUCUACAUCCACCCAUCUUCUAAUCACCAGUUCAGGGUCACGGGGGUACUAGAGUCUAUCCCAGCAAGCUCGAGGCUCAAGGCAGGAUACAGCCUGGACAGGACAC